AGAAGGGGGUAGGGCCAUGAAAUACCAUGUUGUCAAAAUGGUUUUCACAGGGAGAGGCUCAUCCAUUGCACUUUGGGUGUGCUGUUGACCCCUGUGAUUUCCCCAAAUGUGGGGAACUCAACUACAUAAUUUGUUUUUUGGGGGGCAUUAUGUUUCUGAUUUCUGUU
rnacentral:snRNA from 1 species